rnacentral:lncRNA from 1 species
CAGCGCCCCUCCUUCCUCCGCCCCACAGCGCCCCGGCUCCGCCGCCUUCCCAGCGGCACAGCUUUGAAGGAGAAACCCGGGCUGGGGGAAGCAGAGGAAGAGGGGCCACUCACUUGAUGAAGAAGACCCUCCCGCCGCCGUCCACCCCGUAGGUCCACCGGCCCGGCAGGUCCAGCCAGUCGAUCUCCUCGGCCAUCUCCGCGCCCCCGGGCGCCGGGCUGGCAGCGGCUCCGAGGCUCGCGCGCCCUCCGGGCCCGGCGGUGACCGUGGCCUCCGCGGAAGCGAGUUGGCCCAGUCGGCGGCCCGGCGAGCGCCGCGCAGACACCGCCGCCCUCCGGAGCGCUCCGGGCCGCUCCCGAACUUUAAUGACCGGCAAUUAGCGCGGGGCGUAAUUACGCGGGGCGCUCGGCCGCCGCGUCCGUCGGAGCCGGGCGCCCCAGGAGCGCAAGUCGCCGCCGCCUCUCGGAUCCCACACUGGCGGGCGGCGGGGCGGGGCAGGGCCGCGCCCGGGAAGGUAACCGGGGCCGGGAGCCCGCGAGAGCCUGAGUCACGGCCGAGGGGCACGGCCGGCCUCCCGGGGACAGGGCAGCGGCGCCCGAGCGGUACAAAGGUCAGGCGCUCGCUCCGGAGGGGGAGGCAGGGGAGGCCUGACUGCCAGCAGCUUCCCGCUGAGACGCCCAGCUCGCUAGUUAGGCCGGUCCUCGCCUCUCCUUCCGAGCACCUCCUCCAGGAAGCCCGCCGUGACUCCCUAGAGUCAGGGAAGCCCUAGGGACAAUUCAGAAACCAGCGCUGCGUCUCUCCAUCCUGUCCCCUAACACACCAGCAGUGGAGAGAAAUGAACUGUGCCGAUGCCUUCAGGCUGAUUCCUGGCUGCCAGGAGUAAGCUGACUCCAUUCCCCACAUGCAGAAGAGAAAGCUGAAGCCCAGAAUACCCCCGCUGCAUCCUCCCUGCUCAGCUCCCACAAACUCCACAUAGAAAGCGGCAUUGGAUGGGCCUCCUAUUUGGAGUAGGAGAGAAGCAAAUUCCAGAAGGAGCCCAUACAAUGAUCUCAACCACACGUGAGGAUGGCUUGGCUCAGGGUGUUGGGCGGAGGUGGUGAGAAAUGGUCAGACUCUGGGUCUCUUUUGAACACAGAGCUCCCAAGUUUGGCUGAGCAGAGAAGGCUCAGGACCAUCCCAAGGAGCAUGGCCUGAGCCCUGGGGAGGAGAGAGCUACCACUGACGAAGUGGAGGUCAGCUGUGAGGAGAGGAGAGCCCCACUGAGCAUGGUACAGGGGCGCCUGUAACAGACCGACGCAGAGAUGCCACGGGUGACCGGAUGCAGGAGACUAGAGCCUGUCUCAGGAGUCUGGAUGCCCACUUGGUGUUUGCCGAUGAUCAGAUGGCGCGACAGCCCCAGGCUGCUGGAGAUCACAGAGGAAGUGAGUGUAGGUGAGGAGGAGGUGGAGAUCGAGGGCUGGGAACUGGGGCAUCCAGCUUUCAGAGAUCAGGCUCAUGGAAGGAGCCUGCAAAGGAGACUGAGUAACAAGCAGCAGGCGGAGCGGGAGGACAAAGGAGCCAUGUGCGGGAGGCGCCCGUG